GCUAGGACCGAGGUGGUAGACGCGCAGGUACGCAUGCCGAACCGCCUCGAGGGAGGGGAUGACGAGCUUUUCGACGCUUCCCAGCUCCGACGCCAGCCCGAGCCUCAGUCUAACAUUAGCUAUGGUGAAGUGACUGUGUGCAAUUCACUUUUACUGGAAAAAGUACACAACACUAAAGGUUUUUCUUCUUUUAAAACAAGGACUAUAACAAUUGAAAAGAACAGUUUCCAGGAUUCUAAUCGGUGCUGGUAAGAUGUGGAGAGGUAAAGCCGUGGGGGUGGGGGCCAGGUUGAGAUGGCAGCUCCAGUGAGAGAUAGCUCAUCUGCUGGGAAUCAACCGACCACGGCCAACUUUGAGUACGAUGAUAACGAGUGGGACAUAGGCAUAGGGGAUCUUAUCAUUGACCUUGAUGCGGAUAUAGAAAAGACGGGAGUGGGGGAAGGCAUGGCCGCCCCCAAACCUGGUAAGAUGCAUUCUCCGGUCGAACACCAAGCCACAGUGGAUAAAGGCUUGAAAAUGAAAAUCAAGAGGACCAAGCCGGGGACCAAGCAUGAAAUCGUGAAAAGCGGAGAGAACGGUGAAAAACAUGCGAACAGCGCGAAAAGGGGGAGCAGUAGUCAUAAAAGGGAUAAAAAACACGGAGACAAACUGACGCAGAAGGACGUGAACGGUUUAGUGAGGUGCAUCGAGAAGAUGGUUUAUCCGGUGUCUUCGUCGUCCGUAAAGGAAAAAGACCCGCAGGGUUCGGGUAUGAAAAAAGUGAAACCGAACAUGGGUGCCGGUAGUGGUGGAAGCGGUAAUUCGGGCAGUGGGAAUAGCGGGAGUGGGAAUAACGUUAGCAGUAGCAGCAGCUCGAGUAGUGUUAGUAGUAGUAGUAGUAGUGAGAGUAGUGCCGUUUCGGGCAGUGCCAGUUCGUCGUCGAACCAACAGCAGCAGCAACAGUCGCAGCCGUCUCCGCCGCAACAGCAGUCGACGAGUUCGUUGUCGCAGCAAUCCGCUCAAUCUCAACAGUCGUCCGCUCAGCAGUCGGCGCAGCAGGCCCAGCCUUCGGCUCCGCCGGCUCAGUCGCAACAGCUACAGCAGUCGCAAGCGGGGCCGCAGCAGCAGCAACAACAACAGCCGCAACAGCAACCAGCCCAACAGCAGUCCUCUCAACCGCAUAGACUGAUCGCACAAGUUCCUGGGGCGGCUUUGACUCAUCAGCCGUCCAAUCAAUCUCAUUUGACGGCUCCUCCACCGCUUUUACCCCCUAUGCUUCAGAAGUCGCAGCCGCCCAAGCUCAUGCCGCCGCUUCUAGCACCUUUGGACUUGCCUUCUCAUUGUCUUCCUUCCCCACCAACGCUUCAAGUCCAAGUUACCUCGCAACUUCCGACAAUCUCGCCUACCAACACUCCACCACCUCUCCAUAAGGAUUUGGUGGAUGUUUGUGUUGGAACCAGCGUGGGAACAAUCACGGAACCGGACUGCCUCGGACCUUGCGAACCAGGAACCAGCGUUACGUUGGAAGGGAUUGUCUGGCAUGAAACUGAAGGUGUAUUGGUGGUGAAUGUGACAUGGCGGGGGAAGACCUACGUCGGUACAUUACUCGAUUGUACACGGCAUGACUGGGCACCGCCCAGAUUUUGUGAUUCUCCUACGAGUGAUUUGGAUUUAAGGACCCCAAAAGGUCGUGGUAAGAGAGGAAGAAGUGCGGCUCAUUCUAAUCUGAACGACCUUAGUAACUUUACUGAAACGAGGAGCUCUGUACAUAGCAAACUUAGAAGUAAUAAUUCUUCAGGGCCUAAAGGUAGAAGGGGCCCUGGAGCCGCUAGUCCCACACCGUUUGCCACUCCAAAGAGUGACACUCCGGGUAAAAGGAAAACCAAAACCCACGAGGAAGAACCUCCGUUGAAAAAGAAAGUUCCACCUUCUCAACCUACUAGUCCUUUGCCGCCGCCAGUGCUAUUAGAGUGUCCAGAACCUAAUUGUUCCAAAAAAUAUAAGCACAUCAACGGAUUGAAGUACCAUCAGUCACACGCUCAUGGAUCUCCGGAUGAUGAUGAAACCAAAGAAUCAGGAACGUCGGAAGAGGAAGUUCAAAGCCCUAUGCCUGAUAUUAAGAAAGACGAACCGAUAGAUAUACCUCCGCCAAAUUUAUGUGAGGAACCUGUAAUGGAACCUGACGAAAAGACUGGGAUCAGGUUUACCGAUGAAUCUAGUUUGAGAGUAAAUACUGUUCCGACGUCUCCCUUAACGCGUGCUCCGACGCCUCCAGUGCUGAUCCCUUCGCCAUCUGAAGACGAACAACAUAUAAACGUAUCAUUACAGCCGCCAAUUUUAACAAAAGUCCAACAGUUUAAAGUAAAGACAACUGCUGUGCUCAUGCCAGAUGACAAGAAGCCCGUGGCGUCUCCUCCUACAUCCUCUAAUAAAAACCAACAACAAAGCAGUAAGAAAAAGAACAACAGAAAAUCGCCGGCAGGCAGUCCCCAUCCUAGCCCUAUUGAACCGCCCUCUUUGGGUAUCGAAACUGGCAGAGAAGAAGUACAAUCUCCUGCAUAUUCAGACAUAUCCGAUGAUGCUGCUCCAUUGUUAGAAUCUGAAGUAGAAGGAAAACCUAAAACGACAGGUGAUAAAAAAGAUCCGGGACAAUCACCACAACUGCAACAUUUCAAUAUGUAUCCCUAUUAUGGGCAGCCUCCGUAUCUAGUCCCUUCGGUUGAGACUAAAUCUAAAGAUCAAGGGUCUGAAAAAGUAGAUGGUAAGCCGGUCGAUAAAGAUAAAAAAGAAGGUAAUGGUGAAUUCUCCCAAAAGAUGAUUCAACCUCAUUAUUACCAGUAUGCAUAUCAUCUUCCAGGGUAUUCAUAUAAUGUGGAUUCUUAUCCUGUCGUUUUAGAUGAUAAGAAAGAAGAAAAAAAUAUACCAACUUCAGAUAGCAAACCGAUAACCAAUAAUACAUUGCACAUUCCAAACCCUUCUAAGCCCAAAACAGAAAUGGGUAUCUCUAAAGAAAAACAUCAAAAUGAAAACCAUCAAAUUCUCAAAGAAAGUAUAGAGUUGAAAGCCCAGGUCAAUCCUGGUAUGUUAUUUCAAAGGCAGGGACAAGACGUAGGUAGGUAUUACUUGUACCCGGAUAGAAAAGAGAGUGGGUCGACAAAAGCGACACCGCCUCCUCCUAAAACAUUACCUUCUCCUGGACCGAAGCACAAGGAAAAAACUGAAGAAAAAAAGGAACGAAGAGAAGAUGAAAAGAAACAAGAAGGUGUUAAACCGACAAUGGAAACUCAAGGGCCACCUCCACCACCGACCUCACAGUACGCUUAUAUCCAUCCGGGUUAUAUGCAGUCCCCUCACUAUGGGACGUUACCCUUUGAUCCAAGCCAUCCAAUGUAUCGAGGCAUGAAUCCCAUGCUCGUAUCCGGAUAUCCAAAUUCGCCGUAUCUGCACCCACAAUUACAUGCUGUGCCAAGGUACGCACCUGAAGAUUUAUCUAGAUCUCAAAGUGGAAAAGCUCUUGAUUUAUUGCAGCAUCAUGCUAGCCAGUACUAUUCACACCCUUCUCAUAAAAUACAUGAAUUGCAGGAGAGAGCGAUAAAAUCGCCUACUCCUAAAGUGUCAACAGCCACAUCAUCUCCUUCAUCAGCUCCAAACGGGUCUACACCAGUCCCAGUGACAACAUCGCCGUCAAUACAAGUUCAGACCAAACCCACUGGAUCUGAGAAUAAAGACAGCAGCAGGUCUCCCCCUCCUCAGAGACAUGUACACACCCAUCACCACACACACGUUGGUCUCGGUUAUCCUAUAUUAGCUGGCCAAUAUCCUGCUCCUUAUGGAGGUAAGCCACAUUAGUUCAUUCCCUAUUUACUUAGGGAUAUGUUAACUUACAUCAGCCUCAUUGAGCGAGCCAUACUGCUGUACUAGCAACAGAACAUGCUGCUGCUGUUUCAUCAGUCCCUUACCAAGCCAAAUGAUUUUAAUUACAUCAUUUAACCAGUCUG
rnacentral:misc_RNA from 1 species